rfam:Staphylococcus saprophyticus subsp. saprophyticus ATCC 15305 DNA, complete genome.
UGCGGUAGUGAGGGGAUUUUUUGAUGCGUCUUAACGUCGCCUUCUAUUUAUUGCGUUUACUACUAAGCCAAUAAGUAAAAUACGCAACUGCACAGC